AGAGUUUGAUCCUGGCUCAGAACGAACGCUGGCGGCGUGGCUAACACAUGCAAGUCGAACGCGAACGGCUCUUCGGAGCUUAUUAGAGUGGCGAAAGGGCGAGGAAUACUUGGGUAACGUACCCUACACACCGGGAUAACUGUGGGAAACUACAGAUAAUACUGGAUGAGACCACGACUCGUAAGAGUUGUGCUCAAAGGGCGGGGAUCUCUUCGGAGACCCGUUGGUGUGGGAGCGGCCCAAGUCCUAUCAGGUUGUUGGUGAGGUAAUGGCUCACCAAGCCUACGACGGGUACCGGGACUGAGAGGUUGAUCCGGCGCAUUGGGACUGAGACACUGCCCAGACUCCUACGGGAGGCUGCAGUAACGAAUAUUGGACAAUGAGCGAAAGCUUGAUCCAGCGACGCCGCGUGUAGGAUGAAGUCCCUCGGGAUGUAAACUACUGUCAGGGACUACCAAGCAAGGACUGUUAAUACCGGUCUGCGUUGAGGAAUCCCAGAGGAAGCCACGGCUAACUUCGUGCCAGCAGCCGCGGUAAGACGAAGGUGGCGAGCGUUGUUCGGAAUUACUGGGCUUAAAGCGCAUGUAGGCGGAUCAUCAGGUGUCUUGUGAAAGCCCUCGGCUCAACCGAGGAACUGCUGGGCAAACCGAUGAUCUUGAGGCAGGUAGGGGCAACGGGAACUCUUGGUGGAGCGGUGGAAUGCGUAGAUAUCAAGAGGAACGCCAGAGGCGAAGGCGCGUUGCUGGGCCUGUCCUGACGCUGAGAUGCGAAAGCGUGGGUAGCGAACGGGAUUAGAUACCCCGGUAGUCCACGCCCUAAACGAUGUCAACUAGAUCGAGGGUUCUCUGACGGAUUCUUGGUCGAAAUGAAAACGGUAAGUUGACCGCCUGGGGAGUACGGUCGCAAGGCUAAAACUCAAAGGAAUUGACGGGGGCUCACACAAGCGGUGGAGCAUGUUGCUUAAUUCGAUCAACGCGAAGAACCUUAUCCUGGGCUUGACAUAUUUGGAUGACCAUCUGGAAACAGAGUAGUCUGCUCUUCGGAGUGAAACUUAUACAGGUGCUGCAUGGCUGUCGUCAGCUCGUGUCGUGAGAUGUUGGGUUAAGUCCCGUAACGAGCGAAACCCUUGUCGUUAGUUGCCAGCGCGUUAUGGCGGGGACUCUAGCGAGACUGCCGGUGUUAAACCGGAGGAAGGUGGGGAUGACGUCAAGUCCUCAUGGCCUUUAUGCCCAGGGCUGCAAACGUGCUACAAUGGCGUGUACAAACCGACGCAAGACCGCGAGGUGGAGCAAAUCGGAAAAAACACGCCCCAGUUCGGAUUGGAGUCUGCAACUCGACUCCAUGAAGUCGGAAUCGCUAGUAAUCGCGUAUCAGCGUGACGCGGUGAAUGAGUUCCUGAGCCUUGUACACACCGCCCGUCAAGUCAUGGAAGCUGGUAGCACCCGAAGUCGCCCUAUUUCAGGGGUGCCGAAGGUGAGAUCGGUAACUGGGACUAAGUCGAACAAGGUA
rnacentral:rRNA from 1 species